GACGAACGCUGGCGGCGGGCUUAACACAUGCCAGUCGAACGGAAAGGCCCUGCUUUUGUGGGGUGCUCGAGUGGCGAACGGGUGCGUAACACGUGAGUAACCUGCCCUUGACUUUGGGAUAACUUCAGGAAACUGGGGCUAAUACCGUAUAGGAGCUCCUGUUGCGUGGUGGGGGUUGGAACGUUUCGGCGGUUGGGGAUGGACGCGCGGCUUAUCAGCUUGUUGGUUGGGGAGUGGCUUACCAAGGCUUUGACGGGUAGCCGGCAUGAGAGGGUGACCGGCCACAAUGCUACUGAGAUACGGCCCAGACUCCUACGGUAGGCAGCAGUGGGGAAUAUUGCACAAUGGGCGGAAGCCUGAUGCAGCAACGCCGCGUGCGGGAUGACGGCCUGCGGGUUGUAAACAGCUUUCGCCUGUGACGAAGCGUGAGUGACGGUAAUGGGUAAAGAAGCACCGGCUAACUACGUG
rnacentral:rRNA from 1 species